GAUGAAGAACGUAGUGAAAUGCGAUAAGUAAUGUGAAUUGCAGAAUUCAGUGAAUCAUCGAAUCUUUGAACGCACCUUGCACCCUUUGGCAUUCUGAAGGGUAUGCUCGUUUGAGUGUCAUUGUACUCUCACACUCCCGAUCUUUGCAUUGGGAGCAGUGGACUUGGGUUUGCUGCUUCACCGUCGCUUACCUCAAAUAGGUUAGUGCAACUCUUGGUUGGACAUAGUACGGCGUGAUAAGUGUUCUUCGCCGGUGCCUCGCAAAGAGGGUGGCCGAUCGGGAUGUUGUGCUCCAAACCGUCUACGGACAAUCUCUGACGACUUGACCUCAAAUCGAGUAAGACUACCCGCUGAACUUAAGCAUAUCAAUAAGCGGAGGA
rnacentral:misc_RNA from 1 species